CGGGGUACUCGAGUGGCGAACGGGUGAGUAACACGUGGGUGAUCUGCCUCGUACUCUGGGAUAAGCCUGGGAAACUGGGUCUAAUACCGGAUAGGACCUCUGGUCGCAUGGCUGGUGGUGGAAAGUUUUUCGGUACGAGAUGGGCCCGCGGCCUAUCAGCUUGUUGGUGGGGUAAUGGCCUACCAAGGCGACGACGGGUAGCCGGCCUGAGAGGGCGACCGGCCACACUGGGACUGAGACACGGCCCAGACUCCUACGGGAGGCAGCAGUGGGGAAUAUUGCACAAUGGGCGCAAGCCUGAUGCAGCGACGCCGCGUGAGGGAUGACGGCCUUCGGGUUGUAAACCUCUUUCACCAGGGGCGAAUUGAGACGGUACCUGGAGAAGAAGCACCGGCCAACUACGUGCCAGCAGCCGCGGUAAUACGUAGGGUGCGAGCGUUGUCCGGAAUUACUGGGCGUAAAGAGCUCGUAGGCGGUUUGUCGCGUCGUUCGUGAAAACCCGAUGCUUAACAUCG
rnacentral:rRNA from 1 species